AGGAUGAACGCUAGCUACAGGCUUAACACAUGCAAGUCGAUGGGCAGCAUGGUCUUAGCUUGCUAAGGCCGAUGGCGACCGGCGCACGGGUGAGUAACACGUAUCCAACCUGCCGUCUACUCUUGGACAGCCUUCUGAAAGGAAGAUUAAUACAAGAUGGCAUCAUGAGUCCACAUGUUCACAUGAUUAAAGGUAUUCCGGUAGACGAUGGGGAUGCGUUCCAUUAGAUAGUAGGCGGGGUAACGGCCCACCUAGUCUUCGAUGGAUAGGGGUUCUGAGAGGAAGGUCCCCCACAUUGGAAUUGAGACACGGUCCAAACUCCUACGGGAGGCAGCAGUGAGGAAUAUUGGUCAAUGGGCGAGAGCCUGAACCAGCCAAGUAGCGUGAAGGAUGGCUGCCCUAUGGGUUGUAAACUUCUUUUAUAAAGGAAUAAAGUCGGGUAUGCAUACCCGUUUGCAUGUACUUUAUGAAUAAGGAUCGGCUAACUCCGUGCCAGCAGCCGCGGUAAUACGGAGGAUCCGAGCGUUAUCCGGAUUUAUUGGGUUUAAAGGGAGCGUAGAUGGAUGUUUAAGUCAGUUGUGAAAGUUUGCGGCUCAACCGUAAAAUUGCAGUUGAUACUGGAUAUCUUGAGUGCAGUUGAGGCAGGCGGAAUUCGUGGUGUAGCGGUGAAAUGCUUAGAUAUCACGAAGAACUCCGAUUGCGAAGGCAGCCUGCUAAGCUGCAACUGACAUUGAGGCUCGAAAGUGUGGGUAUCAAACAGGAUUAGAUACCCUGGUAGUCCACACGGUAAACGAUGAAUACUCGCUGUUUGCGAUAUACUGCAAGCGGCCAAGCGAAAGCGUUAAGUAUUCCACCUGGGGAGUACGCCGGCAACGGUGAAACUCAAAGGAAUUGACGGGGGCCCGCACAAGCGGAGGAACAUGUGGUUUAAUUCGAUGAUACGCGAGGAACCUUACCCGGGCUUAAAUUGCAGAUGAAUUACGGUGAAAGCCGUAAGCCGCAAGGCAUCUGUGAAGGUGCUGCAUGGUUGUCGUCAGCUCGUGCCGUGAGGUGUCGGCUUAAGUGCCAUAACGAGCGCAACCCUUGUUGUCAGUUACUAACAGGUUCUGCUGAGGACUCUGACAAGACUGCCAUCGUAAGAUGUGAGGAAGGUGGGGAUGACGUCAAAUCAGCACGGCCCUUACGUCCGGGGCUACACACGUGUUACAAUGGGGGGUACAGAGGGCCGCUACCACGCGAGUGGAUGCCAAUCCCAAAAACCUCUCUCAGUUCGGACUGGAGUCUGCAACCCGACUCCACGAAGCUGGAUUCGCUAGUAAUCGCGCAUCAGCCACGGCGCGGUGAAUACGUUCCCGGGCCUUGUACACACCGCCCGUCAAGCCAUGGGAGCCGGGGGUACCUGAAGUGCGUAACCGCGAGGAGCGCCCUAGGGUAAAACUG
rnacentral:rRNA from 1 species